rnacentral:rRNA from 1 species
GACGAACGCUGGCGGCGUGCUUAACACAUGCAAGUCGAACGAUGAAGCCGGAGCUUGCUCUGGUGAAUUAGUGGCGAACGGGUGAGUAACACGUGAGUAACCUGCCCUUGACUCUGGGAUAACUGCGGGAAACUGUAGCUAAUACCGGAUACGACCCUCGGAGGCAUCUCCUGGGGGUGGAAAGAAUUUCGGUCAAGGAUGGACUCGCGGCCUAUCAGCUAGUUGGUGAGGUAAAGGCUCACCAAGGCGACGACGGGUAGCCGGCCUGAGAGGGCGACCCGCCACACUGGGACUGAGACACGGCCCAGACUCCUACGGGAGGCAGCAGUGGGGAAUAUUGCACAAUGGGCGAAAGCCUGAUGCAGCGACGCCGCGUGAGGGAUGAAGGUCUUCGGAUUGUAAACCUCUUUCAGUAGGGACGAAGCGAAAGUGACGGUACCUAAAGAAGAAGCACCGGCUAACUACGUGCCAGCCGCCGCCUAA